GGCAUUGUCCCCACUCAGAAAUGCUCCAAAAGAACUAAGGAGAAGGAUUAGAGGAGACAAAAUGUUUUUGCUAAAUUCUUGCACUGAAGCCAGAGUUGCUCAGGAAAUAACAGCUCAGUUUGUUAGCUCUGAUCUCUAAUUCCAUCCCAAAUUCAUAACGUUAUUUUUUUUGUUUGUUUCCAUUGUUCAUUUGUUGUGUGCCUCUUAGGAUGUCCCUUUCCAUCUGGGCCUCAAUGACCUUCCCUGGGAAAUGGGGUACUUGUACUUAACCAUACCCCUGCUUCUAAAGACAAACUGGGAAAAUUAAAUGGAAAUUCUAAAAGAAAGCUUCAUCUUUUAGUUCCUUAGAGAACUAGCAUUACAGUUGAUUACCUAGGUGAUGAUUCAAGCUAUUCAACCCUUGUCAUUCUGAAUGUACUUCUCUUCCAGCUUGCCUUGGAAAGAAAAUCAGCCAGUUAAAGAAAGCAUCAGCUGGAACUCUCUCAGCUCUCAGUGACUGCAGAGUGAACUAUGGCAUUCAGCAUAGAAAAUGUUCUUCCAGUGCUCCAAUAAAUAGCAUUCAGUUUUUAGCCCCAGGGAAUUCAGUGUAGCCCUGGUUACUCCUCACUGCCACAGCCAACACUGCUUCCUUGGGUAGGAGAAAUGAUUUAUGGAGAUGAGCUGAACAACAGCCAAUCAACCACCCCCACAGGCCACCCUUGGACCAUGACAUACAGGGCAUCUGACUGAUAGUCCCACCAAGACUGCCUAUGAUCAUAAAUGUCCAGCUGUUUGGGCAGACAGCAGUCAAGGCUGUGCUGUGGUGCAGUUUACUCCUGCAGAGAAAGAUGUGCCUAAAAGAGAAGCAGCACCUACCUGGAAGACUCAGGAGACAAAGAGGGAAAGAGUGGGACACAGUGGAUUAUGCUCACCCUGAGGGUUAUCUGAGAAGAUUUCUGAGAACCUGAGAGUCUCAAAUGCCUGAGAGGUGGGAGCUGCAUAGAGAGGAACAGAAAUGAAUCCCCAAGAUUUCCUGGGCUGAGCCUAACAGGAUAUGAGAAGCAGAAACUUCUGGAUUGUGAGAAGAAACAAAGGAAGAAGAGAGAUGCUCUAUAGGAGAAAAAUCACAGACAAUAAGUGGGGAGAGCAAGAAGACAAAGUUUUGUUACUUUAAUUCACCACUCCUAUCCCCAGCCACCAGUGGCCAUCCUGUACUGGAUUCUAAACCCAGGGCCCUAA
rnacentral:lncRNA from 1 species